rnacentral:rRNA from 1 species
UUAACACAUGCAAGUCGAACGGGAAACCUUUUAUUGAAGCUUCGGCAGAUUAGAUUGUUCUAGUGGCGGACGGGUGAGUAACGCGUGGGUAACCUGCCUUAUACAGGGGGAUAACAGUCAGAAAUGACUGCUAAUACCGCAUAAGCGCACAGAGCUGCAUGGCUCGGUGUGAAAAACUCCGGUGGUAUAAGAUGGACCCGCGUUGGAUUAGCUAGUUGGUGAGGUAACGGCCCACCAAGGCGACGAUCCAUAGCCGGCCUGAGAGGGUGAACGGCCACAUUGGGACUGAGACACGGCCCAGACUCCUACGGGAGGCAGCAGUGGGGAAUAUUGCACAAUGGGGGAAACCCUGAUGCAGCGACGCCGCGUGAAGGAAGAAGUAUCUCGGUAUGUAAACUUCUAUCAGCAGGGAAGAAAAUGACGGUACCUGACUAAGAAGCCCCGGCUAACUACGUGCCAGCAGCCGCGGUAAUACGUAGGGGGCAAGCGUUAUCCGGAUUUACUGGGUGUAAAGGGAGCGUAGACGGAUGGACAAGUCUGAUGUGAAAGGCUGGGGCUCAACCCCGGGACUGCAUUGGAAACUGCCCGUCUUGAGUGCCGGAGAGGUAAGCGGAAUUCCUAGUGUAGCGGUGAAAUGCGUAGAUAUUAGGAGGAACACCAGUGGCGAAGGCGGCUUACUGGACGG